UACGUAGGGGGCGAGCGUUGUCCGGAAUUACUGGGCGUAAAGGGCGAGUAGGCGGUUUUACAAGUCAGAUGUGAAAUACCAGGGCUUAACCCUGGAGCUGCAUUUGAAACUGUAAGACUUGAGUGCAGGAGAGGAAAGUGGAAUCCCCAGUGUAGCGGUGAAAUGCGUAGAUAUUGGGGGGAACACCAGUGGCGAAGGCGACUUUCUGGACUGUAACUGACGCUGAGGCGCGAAAGCGUGGGGAGCAAACAGG
rnacentral:rRNA from 2 species